UCUCCGUUGGUGAACCAGCGGAGGGAUCAUUACAGAGUUGCAAAACUCCCACGCCCUUGUGAACGUUACCUCUCCCGUUACUUCGGCGUGCGGCCCGGGCCCCGCGCCCGGCGGCCCCCGGGCCCCCGCGGGCGCCCGCCGGAGGUGAACCAAUCCCUUCAAUUGACUGUCCUCUCUGAGUCUUCUGUACUGAAUAAGUCAAAACUUUCAACAACGGAUCUCUUGGUUCUG
rnacentral:misc_RNA from 1 species